UACGUAGGGUGCGAGCGUUGUCCGGAAUUAUUGGGCGUAAAGAGCUCGUAGGCGGUGUGUCACGUCGGCCGUGAAAACCUGGGGCUUAACUCUGGGCGUGCGGUCGAUACGGGCAUCACUAGAGUUCGGCAGGGGAGGCUGGAAUUCCUGGUGUAGCGGUGAAAUGCGCAGAUAUCAGGAGGAACACCGGUGGCGAAGGCGGGUCUCUGGGCCGAUACUGACGCUGAGGAGCGAAAGCAUGGGUAGCGAACAGG
rnacentral:rRNA from 1 species